UGUUAAAAAAUCUAUCUGUUCAUACUGUUAAAAACUAUCGUAGCUGAUGGAAUAACCAAUGACACAUGGCAUGCCAUGUGUGCCUCAUGCUGAUGUACAAAGGCCAAUUUUUAAUAUUAAAAAUAGAUGAAAUUUUUAAUA
rfam:Gossypium arboreum cultivar AKA8401 contig_5438_1, whole genome shotgun sequence.